rnacentral:lncRNA from 10 species
AGGUUGUUUCCCGCCCAUCAAAUGCCAGUGGCCUGGAUUGACCGUUGCCACUGUGCCUGGAGAGCCCAGGAAAUACACUAUGGUGAUGAAAACGACUGUGGCAAUCCAGCAGUCUGCUCUAACUGGAUGAUUGUAAGAGGGUAAAGAAGAUAGUGCUGAACUUUGUGAUGGUUUUAUAUUCCAGUAAACACCCAGUAAGACAACAUUGGAGGCAGCAGGGCCCAUAUGGGUAUUGGAGAAGCAACGGACAAAGUCAGACCCAGCCCAGUGGAUGAGGGCAGGGUCUCACUAGUGUUGGUCUCACCAGUGUUGAGUAGAAGAUGCCCGGAGUGAGUGAGACAACUUCCAGGACUAGAACUGUGCGUGGAGUCCAAACCAGGAGAGUUGGAGGAAAGAGGGCAGCUGAACAUCAUCUUUGUGGAUGGAAUCUUGCCAGGAACUAAUGAAUGCUUCAGUAGCUCUACUGGAUCUUGGGACAAUCUGGUAAACAGACAAGAUACUUUCUUGGAGCUUGGAAGGGAAUAUAUUAAAACUGAUAAACAAAUACAUAAAAUGAUCACAAACUGCUAAAAGAACUAUGAAGGAAACAAAGAGUGCUAACAAAGAACUAGGAAGCGUUGGAGAACACAGUUGAGAAUGAAUGGUUAAGAAAGCCAAGACUCGAAGAAUGAGAUGGAGCCAGCCAGGUUCAGAACAUAGCAGAGCAAUGCGUAACAGAGAGCAAUGCACAGCAUGUGCGAAGGUCCUGAGUCAGAAAAGUGUUGGCUUAUUGAAGGAAAUAAAGGCAUCUGUAUGGUUGGAGAAUGGGCAAGGUGGAAACAAGUUACAGAAGAGGGGCUUAUUGUGGGAACUGUAUUAGUUAGCUUUUGCUACAAAA